UGCCAAGUUGACGGGAUUAGUUUAGCAAUAGACUAUGAGAGUGGCGCACGGGUGCGUAACACGUAUGCAACCUGCCCUUGACUGGAGGAUAGCCUCUCGAAAGAGAGAUUAAUAUUCCAUAACAUAUAGGUUAAGCAUUUAACUUAUAUCAAAGCUCCGGCGGUCAAGGAUGGGCAUGCGGUUGAUUAGCUAGUUGGUGAGGUAACGGCUCACCAAGGCGACGAUCAAUAGGGGGUCUGAGAGGAUGUCCCCCCACACUGGUACUGAGACACGGCCCAGACUCCUACGGGAGGCAGCAGUGGGGAAUUUUGGACAAUGGGCGCGAGCCUGAUCCAGCCAUGCCGCGUGAGUGAAGAAGGCCUUCGGGUUGUAAAGCUCUUUCGGCCGGGAAGAAAUCGCAUGGGUCAAUACCCUGUGUGGAUGACGGUACCGGAAUAAGAAGCACCGGCUAACUACGUGCCAGCAGCCGCGGUAAUACGUAGGGUGCGAGCGUUAAUCGGAAUUACUGGGCGUAAAGCGUGCGCAGGCGGUUUGGUAAGUCAGACGUGAAAUCCCCGGGCUCAACCUGGGAACUGCAUUUGAGACUGCCAAGCUGGAGUUUGGCAGAGGGGGGUGGAAUUCCACGUGUAGCAGUGAAAUGCGUAGAGAUGUGGAGGAACACCGAUGGCGAAGGCAGCCCCCUGGGCCAAUACUGACGCUCAUGCACGAAAGCGUGGGGAGCAAACAGGAUUAGAUACCCUGGUAGUCCACGCCCUAAACGAUGUCAACUAGGUGUUGGGAGGGUUAAACCUUUUAGUGCCGUAGCUAACGCGUGAAGUUGACCGCCUGGGGAGUACGGCCGCAAGGCUAAAACUCAAAGGAAUUGACGGGGACCCGCACAAGCGGUGGAUGAUGUGGAUUAAUUCGAUGCAACGCGAAAAAACCUUACCUACCCUUGACAUGUCAAAGGAAUCCUGGAGAGAUCUGGGA
rnacentral:rRNA from 1 species